rnacentral:rRNA from 1 species
GACGAACGCUGGCGGCGUGCUUAACACAUGCAAGUCGAACGGAAAGGCCUGCUUUCCCUUGUGGAUUGCGGGUACUCGAGUGGCGAACGGGUGAGUAACACGUGAGUGAUCUGCCCCCAACUUGGGUAUAAGCCUGGGAAACUGGGUCUAAUUCCCGAUAGGACUGCAGGGUGGUGCCUGUGGUGGAAAACGAUUUUCUAGUGGUUGGGGAUGAGCUCGCGGCCUAUCAGCUUGUUGGUGGGGUAAUGGCCUACCAAGGCGGCGACGGGUAGCCGGCCUGAGAGGGUGGACGGCCACAUUGGGACUGAGAUACGGCCCAGACUCCUACGGGAGGCAGCAGUGGGGAAUAUUGCACAAUGGGCGGAAGCCUGAUGCAGCGACGCCGCGUGGGGGAUGACGGCCUUCGGGUUGUAACCUCCUUUCGACCGCGAGGAAGCCACCUGGUUGGAAGGGUGGUGACGGUAGUGGUAGAAGAAACACCGGCUAACUACGUG